AUUGAACGCUGGCGUAUGCCUUACACAUGCAAGUCGAACGGCAGCAUGAUCUAGCUUGCUAGAUUGAUGGCGAGUGGCGAACGGGUGAGUAAUACAUCGGAACGUGCCCUGUAGUGGGGGAUAACUAGUCGAAAGAUUAGCUAAUACCGCAUACGACCUGAGGGUGAAAGUGGGGGACCGCAAGGCCUCAUGCUAUAGGAGCGGCCGAUGUCUGAUUAGCUAGUUGGUGAGGUAAAGGCUCACCAAGGCGACGAUCAGUAGCUGGUCUGAGAGGACGAUCAGCCACACUGGGACUGAGACACGGCCCAGACUCCUACGGGAGGCAGCAGUGGGGAAUUUUGGACAAUGGGGGCAACCCUGAUCCAGCAAUGCCGCGUGUGUGAAGAAGGCCUUCGGGUUGUAAAGCACUUUUGUCCGGAAAGAAAUCGCACUUACUAAUAUUAGGUGUGGAUGACGUACCGGA
rnacentral:rRNA from 1 species